UUAAGCGACUAAGCGUACACGGUGGAUGCCCUGGCAGUCAGAGGCGAUGAAGGACGUGCUAAUCUGCGAUAAGCGUCGGUAAGGUGAUAUGAACCGUUAUAACCGGCGAUUUCCGAAUGGGGAAACCCAGUGUGUUUCGACACACUAUCAUUAACUGAAUCCAUAGGUUAAUGAGGCGAACCGGGGGAACUGAAACAUCUAAGUACCCCGAGGAAAAGAAAUCAACCGAGAUUCCCCCAGUAGCGGCGAGCGAACGGGGAGCAGCCCAGAGCCUGAAUCAGUGUGUGUGUUAGUGGAAGCGUCUGGAAAGGCGCGCGAUACAGGGUGACAGCCCCGUACACAAAAAUGCACAUAUUGUGAGCUCGAUGAGUAGGGCGGGACACGUGGUAUCCUGUCUGAAUAUGGGGGGACCAUCCUCCAAGGCUAAAUACUCCUGACUGACCGAUAGUGAACCAGUACCGUGAGGGAAAGGCGAAAAGAACCCCGGCGAGGGGAGUGAAAAAGAACCUGAAACCGUGUACGUACAAGCAGUGGGAGCCUCUUUUAUGGGGUGACUGCGUACCUUUUGUAUAAUGGGUCAGCGACUUAUAUUCUGUAGCAAGGUUAACCGAAUAGGGGAGCCGAAGGGAAACCGAGUCUUAACUGGGCGUUAAGUUGCAGGGUAUAGACCCGAAACCCGGUGAUCUAGCCAUGGGCAGGUUGAAGGUUGGGUAACACUAACUGGAGGACCGAACCGACUAAUGUUGAAAAAUUAGCGGAUGACUUGUGGCUGGGGGUGAAAGGCCAAUCAAACCGGGAGAUAGCUGGUUCUCCCCGAAAGCUAUUUAGGUAGCGCCUCGUGAAUUCAUCUCCGGGGGUAGAGCACUGUUUCGGCAAGGGGGUCAUCCCGACUUACCAACCCGAUGCAAACUGCGAAUACCGGAGAAUGUUAUCACGGGAGACACACGGCGGGUGCUAACGUCCGUCGUGAAGAGGGAAACAACCCAGACCGCCAGCUAAGGUCCCAAAGUCAUGGUUAAGUGGGAAACGAUGUGGGAAGGCCCAGACAGCCAGGAUGUUGGCUUAGAAGCAGCCAUCAUUUAAAGAAAGCGUAAUAGCUCACUGGUCGAGUCGGCCUGCGCGGAAGAUGUAACGGGGCUAAACCAUGCACCGAAGCUGCGGCAGCGACGCUUAUGCGUUGUUGGGUAGGGGAGCGUUCUGUAAGCCUGUGAAGGUGUGCUGUGAGGCAUGCUGGAGGUAUCAGAAGUGCGAAUGCUGACAUAAGUAACGAUAAAGCGGGUGAAAAGCCCGCUCGCCGGAAGACCAAGGGUUCCUGUCCAACGUUAAUCGGGGCAGGGUGAGUCGACCCCUAAGGCGAGGCCGAAAGGCGUAGUCGAUGGGAAACAGGUUAAUAUUCCUGUACUUGGUGUUACUGCGAAGGGGGGACGGAGAAGGCUAUGUUGGCCGGGCGACGGUUGUCCCGGUUUAAGCGUGUAGGCUGGUUUUCCAGGCAAAUCCGGAAAAUCAAGGCUGAGGCGUGAUGACGAGGCACUACGGUGCUGAAGCAACAAAUGCCCUGCUUCCAGGAAAAGCCUCUAAGCAUCAGGUAACAUCAAAUCGUACCCCAAACCGACACAGGUGGUCAGGUAGAGAAUACCAAGGCGCUUGAGAGAACUCGGGUGAAGGAACUAGGCAAAAUGGUGCCGUAACUUCGGGAGAAGGCACGCUGAUAUGUAGGUGAAGUCCCUCGCGGAUGGAGCUGAAAUCAGUCGAAGAUACCAGCUGGCUGCAACUGUUUAUUAAAAACACAGCACUGUGCAAACACGAAAGUGGACGUAUACGGUGUGACGCCUGCCCGGUGCCGGAAGGUUAAUUGAUGGGGUCAGCGCAAGCGAAGCUCUUGAUCGAAGCCCCGGUAAACGGCGGCCGUAACUAUAACGGUCCUAAGGUAGCGAAAUUCCUUGUCGGGUAAGUUCCGACCUGCACGAAUGGCGUAAUGAUGGCCAGGCUGUCUCCACCCGAGACUCAGUGAAAUUGAACUCGCUGUGAAGAUGCAGUGUACCCGCGGCAAGACGGAAAGACCCCGUGAACCUUUACUAUAGCUUGACACUGAACAUUGAGCCUUGAUGUGUAGGAUAGGUGGGAGGCUUAGAAGUGUGGACGCCAGUCUGCAUGGAGCCGACCUUGAAAUACCACCCUUUAAUGUUUGAUGUUCUAACGUGGACCCGUGAUCCGGGUUGCGGACAGUGUCUGGUGGGUAGUUUGACUGGGGCGGUCUCCUCCUAAAGAGUAACGGAGGAGCACGAAGGUUGGCUAAUCCUGGUCGGACAUCAGGAGGUUAGUGCAAUGGCAUAAGCCAGCUUGACUGCGAGCGUGACGGCGCGAGCAGGUGCGAAAGCAGGUCAUAGUGAUCCGGUGGUUCUGAAUGGAAGGGCCAUCGCUCAACGGAUAAAAGGUACUCCGGGGAUAACAGGCUGAUACCGCCCAAGAGUUCAUAUCGACGGCGGUGUUUGGCACCUCGAUGUCGGCUCAUCACAUCCUGGGGCUGAAGUAGGUCCCAAGGGUAUGGCUGUUCGCCAUUUAAAGUGGUACGCGAGCUGGGUUUAGAACGUCGUGAGACAGUUCGGUCCCUAUCUGCCGUGGGCGCUGGAGAACUGAGGGGGGCUGCUCCUAGUACGAGAGGACCGGAGUGGACGCAUCACUGGUGUUCGGGUUGUCAUGCCAAUGGCACUGCCCGGUAGCUAAAUGCGGAAGAGAUAAGUGCUGAAAGCAUCUAAGCACGAAACUUGCCCCGAGAUGAGUUCUCCCUGACUCCUUGAGAGUCCUGAAGGAACGUUGAAGACGACGACGUUGAUAGGCCGGGUGUGUAAGCGCAGCGAUGCGUUGAGCUAACCGGUACUAAUGAACCGUGAGGCUUAACCUU
rnacentral:rRNA from 3 species